rnacentral:rRNA from 1 species
ACUCAAAUGAAUUGACGGGGACCUGCACAAGUGGUGGAGCAUGUGGUUUAAUUCGAUGGUAAGCGAGGAACCUUACCAAGGCUUGACAUGUACCUGCAUACGUCUGGAAACAGCGUAGCCUUCGAGGGUGGUACACAGGUGAUGCACGGUUGUCGUCAGCUCGUGCCGUGAGGUGUUCACUUAAGUGUGAAAACGAGCGCAACCCCUAUCAUCAGUUACAAGUGUCUGAUGAAACUGCCGGCGUUUAAGCCGGAGGAAGGUGGGGAUGACGUCAAAUCAGCGUGUCUCUUACGCCUUGGGCGACACACGUGCUACAAUGGGAUGGUACAAAGGGACGCCAAGCAGUAAUGCGGAGCAAAUCCUAAAAAAACAUCCCCCAGUUCGGAUCGAGGGCUGCAACUCGCCCUCGUGAAGCCGGAAUCACUAGUAACCGUAGAUCAGCCUCGCUACGGUGAAUACGUUCUCAGGUUUUGCACACACCGCCCGU